GCAGGGUGGUGAGAGUCAUCUCACAAAACUGGCACCUGAACUCAGGGGGGCAACAACAUGGAAUAGCUCCUGUGCACAUGUGGAUCUGCUGAGAAAACUGGGGUGGUGAUAAAAGGGGAUCUGGCUCAUGCAUGCGUCUUCUUGUACUCGUUAUGCCCUGUGCUGAUGGAACACAGCAAACAGGCAAAGCCCAGCCAUCACGCCGUGACAAGGUCACAGAAAGCCAAGGUGAACCCCACACUCUUACAUAAGUGAAAUUCAAAUUUAGUUU